rnacentral:hammerhead_ribozyme from 1 species
AUUCAGCUGACGAGUCCCAAAUAGGACAAAAAGUACAUCCUGAAU